UUCGAGCGUCAUUACAACCCUCAAGCUCUGCUUGGUAUUGGGUCUCGUCUAUCUUGACGGGCCUUAAAAUCAGUGGCGGUGCCAUUAGGCUCUAAGCGUAGUAAUUUUUCUCGCUAUGGACGUCUGGUGGAUACUUGCCAAUAACCCCCAAAUUUUUAAAGGUUGACCUCGGAUCAGGUAGGGAUACCCGCUGAACUUAA
rnacentral:misc_RNA from 1 species